AAGACUAUAGACCUGCGGAGUACCUGCGGAGGGAUCAUUAUAGAGUUUUCUAAACUCCCAACCCAUGUGAACUUACCUUUUGUUGCCUCGGCAGAAGUUAUAGGUCUUCUUAUAGCUGCUGCCGGUGGACCAUUAAACUCUUGUUAUUUUAUGUAAUCUGAGCGUCUUAUUUUAAUAAGUCAAAACUUUCAGCAACGGAUCUCU
rnacentral:misc_RNA from 1 species